CAUCCUACGGGGGGCAGCAGUGAGGAAUAUUGGUCAAUGGCCGGAAGGCUGAACCAGCCAAGUCGCGUGAGGGACGACUGCCCUAUGGGUUGUAAACCUCUUUUAUAAGGGAAGAAUAAAUGCUACGUGUAGCAUGAUGCCCGUACCUUAUGAAUAAGCAUCGGCUAACUCCGUGCCAGCAGCCGCGGUAAUACGGAGGAUGCGAGCGUUAUCCGGAUUUAUUGGGUUUAAAGGGUGCGUAGGCGGUAUUUUAAGUUAGUGGUAAAACGUCGGGGCUUCACCUUGAUUGGCCAUUAAAACUGGAG
rnacentral:rRNA from 1 species